AAGUGUCCAUAUUGAUAUGUUUGUGCGUGUAUAAAUAUAAUAUGAAUGCAUUUCUUCCCAUUCCCAUUUCAUGAUUUUCAAUUUUUGUGUUCACACUCUUGCUUUGAUCCAACAGUUUGAAAGCGAAGCAUACGACUUUCCCAUCUCCUUCUUUGCUCAUUUCCUCUCCUUUUUGCUUCAUCUUCCUCAAGCUCCACAAGGGGUUUGCUGUUAUCUGUUGCUUUUUUGGGUGUUUCUAUAUAUUGUUUGAAUACCCAGUUUCAGAAAUGAAUGAUAGUACCAGUAAUAGGAAGAAAAGGAGGAGGAAGGAUGAGGGUGAAGGGGAGUUGGGUGUGGUGAAGGAGGGGAAGAAGAGGGACUUGAAGGAGAUUAUCACCUCUUUACUGCUGUUGGAAGAGCAGCAGAAGCGUGAUCAGGAGGAGUUCGACAGGACUCUGGAGGAGGAGAAGAUGGUGUUUGAAGAGAAUCAUAAGAAGAAGACCAGAGCCAUGAUGGACUACUAUUCAAAUCUCCAGGACUACUACA
rnacentral:lncRNA from 1 species